AGUUGCUCAAUGAAGUGGAAGUGCGCAAAAAAAUUCUUUUUGGCACGCUGUCCUCCGGCGUUAACAACACGUGAAAGAGGAACGAAUGGGACAGCGUGUGUGUGGCUGUCAAUGCUGUGGAGUCAGAACAGCGCACACACGCUGAACUAUAAAAGAAGUGGUCAGACAUUAAGGUGGAUGUGAAGCAGGGGACAGCUGCCCACCGCUACCGUGUGGCCAAAACAGGCGGAAGAACCGACGCGAAGGGCCUUACCCCGUUCGAGGAGAGAGUCGCUGCAAUCAUGGGUGACACUACUCUUUCGGGAGCUGGGAGCACGUGGCUGACUGAUCACUCCACAAGGAGAGGUCACGCAGUCGCAGCCACGCGCUACAUGUUCAGGGGAUUCGUCAACAUUCCCCAGUCGUCCACCGUUCUGCCGUCUCCUCCGGCAUGCCCUCCAACAACUGGCUGCUGCUGCCCGCCCGACUGGUCGUGUCCUCACCCGUGCGCACUGAUAAAGAGUCCUUCAAAUUAUCUUAAUUUGAACAUGUACAUCAGUUGUGCAUGAUCAAAAUGUGUUAAAAUUACAUAAUUUACCCCUGCCCUCCUAAAAAAAAAUUUUUUUAACACAUUUGAAUAAUGUGCAAAUGAUGUACAUGUUCAAAUUUUGUAAAUUCAAAGGACUCUUUUUUUCAGUGCAUGUGCUGGAGUCACAAGAAGAGAUUGUGAGGGCAAUAGGCGGCAUAUGAUCGCCUUGAUCAAUUAAUAGGUAUCCUUACAAAUGUGUGAUUCAUUUAAUAAACUGGUAAACAAGUGAA